rnacentral:rRNA from 1 species
AAAUAGAACUUUGCAGAGAGAGUUAACAGGGCGUGAAACCGUUAAUUGGCAAACGAAUCGGAGCCACGAAGUCGUUUCGUUGAUAGUGAGACUUGGUUCAGUUUGGAAACUAAACAUUUCCAGGCGUAUUUCAAGUUUUGCCAUCCUUGUAAGCGUACACUGCAACCAGUUAGACAAUUGGAAAUGGAACCAGUUAUUAAUAUUAGUAAUAGCGUGGCAUCUUUCGGGGUGUUCAUGUUAUUGGGUAUUAAUAAGUGAGCUAUUUCCAAAUACUGACUGGCAAAAUGAAAAUCACCUUUUGGGUGUUUUACAAAAUGCGGUUUAUUGCAUAUAUGUCUACGCGUUUGACCAUUUGGUUUAAGCUCAACAUUUUUGAAUUUGGACUUGCUUGCUAUCAAUGGGGCAACUCUUGAUGCUUGUAUUGUUACCAUCUAAUCGGGUGUUGACUUGACUAGGUGUUGCUUGAACGUGAAACGAUUGGGCAAAUAUGUAAGUAAAUUCGCCAUUAUUGGCAGUGAGUAGGUCGGCUUUCCGAACGACCCGUCUUGAAACACGGACCAAGGAGUCUAAUUAGGCAUCAAGUCGAUCGGUCUUGNAUAGGCCAGACUUAUCAAGUAUACUUGAUUGAAGGCGUAGAGACAUGUGAUCGUUGGAACAACAAAAGUUCUUUCGCGCAACAUGUGCCUGUUCUUAUAACAAUGUGCAAUAUGUUGAGCGGAGCAAAGAGAUGCUUGAUUGGUACCCGAAAGAUGGUGAUGCUUGGGCAAAUUGAAGCCAGAGGAAACUCUGGUGGAGGAUUGUAGCGAUUCUGACGUGCAAAUCGAUCGUCAGACCUGAGUAUAGGGGCGAAAGACUAAUCGAACCAUC